rnacentral:rRNA from 1 species
AUGUGGUUUAAUUCGAAGCAACGCGCAGAACCUUACCAACCCUUGACAUGGAUAUCGCGGUUCCAGAGAUGGAGUCCUUCAGUUCGGCUGGAUAUCACACAGGUGCUGCAUGGCUGUCGUCAGCUCGUGUCGUGAGAUGUUCGGUUAAGUCCGGCAACGAGCGCAACCCACAUUCUUAGUUGCCAGCAUUCAGUUGGGCACUCUAGGAAAACUGCCGAUGAUAAGUCGGAGGAAGGUGUGGAUGACGUCAAGUCCUCAUGGCCCUUACGGGUUGGGCUACACACGUGCUACAAUGGUAGUGACAAUGGGUUAAUCCCAAAAAGCUAUCUCAGUUCGGAUUGGGGUCUGCAACUCGACCCCAUGAAGUCGGAAUCGCUAGUAAUCGCGUAACAGCAUGACGCGGUGAAUACGUUCCCGGGCCUU